CCCGCCGACCUUCCCUUCUCUUCGUGUGGCCGACCGGUGUGUGCGAUCCUCCCCAACGCCGGUCUGCCAUUACCGCCAGGGGACCUCCAGACCUCGACGUCGCGCCCAGCCCCGGGUUUCGUCGUCUCGGUUGACCAGCUGUGCCCAUACGCGCGCGUGCGCCAUCGGGUCUCGCUUCCGCCGCGCUCGUCGUGGUGAACGUGAUCCAGCUCAUCGUCACCUCCACUGCCGUCUAAACCACUGGUGAGGUCACCUACCUCCCCCUUCUGCCUUCCGCGCGCCCAUAGCAGCCGAGUCCCUGUGUCUGAGAAAGAAGAUAGAGUUUGUGGCGUGGGGUGGGAAAUGGCUGUUGUGUCGGCGUGCUAGUCGUCGUAGGACACUGUGCGCCUCCGGUUCUGGUCGUCUGGGGAAGAAGCCUGGCAGCCGUGGGAUGGGUAGUUGACGGCUAGGAAGGGAUCUGGGGAGGAUGCAUCGUGGACCGUUGAUCUGCGGGCAUGUGGCCAGGAUUAGAGUUGGGAGGGGAAUGGCUAUGGGCCAUGGGAUCCAUAUCGGACGGUAGAGAAUGGAAAAUAACGUUUCACCACUGCGUUCUGAUCAGGGCCAUCCAGAAUUGAUCGGACGGUCAGAAUUGAAUCAUACCCCUUUGCCCGAGAGAUUUUCACUUGAGCCCCUUGACUAGUUAGAUUUAAACCCGCGGUCCAUAUCUCAGUAUUCUGUGUCUCGGUAUGUUUAGCGCCGAGGACCCUGUGCUCUUUAAUAAUUGUGCGCCCAGCCCAGAGAGUUGGAAAAUCAGAGAAAAUAUAUUAGAAAUGGAUUUUUAGUGUAAAACUAAAUGCUAGAACUUGUAUUAAUCAUAGAAAAUUCAUAUGAUGUCCAAAUUGAUUCAUUCCAAUUCCUAUAAUUCUAUAAUAUUAUUGUUUAUCACAUAGUACAUCUGGUUUGACAUGAAAGCUGUAUUAAAAUUAAUCUCUUAAUUAAUCUCGUAUCAAAUACAUAAAACCUUAGGAAAUUCGUAACUGCUUCGUUUUAACUCCGAUUUGAUCCGUUCAAGUUGCGUUAGUGUCGUAGAAACGCGUAGAUCAUUAUUAUGCAGUAUAUUCUUAUGUUUGGUGUGAUGUUAAUUUUAUCUAUACCAUUUUUGUUUGUAUUGCUACGACUAGCGCGAGGAGACGUGUCAUCUGAAAAGCAAGUUGGUACCUGGAAUCUCAAGUGCCAGGCAAGUUGUGCCCUUGACCACUUUUUACCCAAUAAUGUUCUUUAAUAUCAUUUAUUCAUGCAUAGGUUAAUUUUGAUGGGACCCAAUAGGUUACCCUAGAUUGUUUAUCUCAUUACCUUGUUUACCCUUGAAUCACUUGGGUAGUUUGCUAUUGCUUUACAUGGAUUUGGGAUAAUUAUUUAUCAUAUCUAUGUUCCAGUUAUUUUGUUAUUUUAUUUAUGUUCAUGUCAAGAUCAUUAAUGUUAAUUGGAACAUAGAGCUUAACUUGAGAAACACGUGCCACCACAAGGGUUUAUGGACGCCCUUGGCUGAUUAAUUAGGAAAGCUAGUGGAGGACUACCUUACCCGAAAGGGGCAAGGGCAGUAGGGGAGUGGUCAGUGUAGGGAGGUCCUUGGUUGAUUUUGCUGCGAUGGCGGUCAGGCAAGAACCCUGCAUUGGAGCUUCCUAUAAACUGUAGCGGGUUUUCUGAAGCUAGUGGAACUUUGUAAAGGCCUCGUAGUGUUACCCUGCCUCGCCUCCUCGGUAGAGGUGUAUGGGAAGUCGCGAUCCCUUGGCAGAUGGGUAACAUGACUUGUGGGUAAAGGGUACCACCUCUGUAGAGUGUAAAACUGGUAUACUAGCCGAGCUCACGGUCAUGAGCAGCUCAGGACUCUCUGAUGAUUAACUUAUGGAACUAAAUUCAAUUUGUCAUAUGCAUUGCAUCGCAGGUGAUGUUGUUACUUUUGUUCUACUACUUAAUUGGGUUGGUAUUUACUUAUACUUAGUAAUUGCUAAUAAAAUUUUGACCAACUUUAAAAGCAAUGCUCAGCUCUAACCAUCCUCUUUGGUAAGCCUUACACUUCACGUGAGCUCCCACCAUUGGCGAGUUCAUGCACAUUAUUCCCCACAACUUGUUGAGCGAUGAACGUAUGUGAGCUCACUCUUGCUGUCUCACACCCCCCCCCACAGGUCAAGAACAGGUACCACAGGAUGAGGCGCAUGAAGGAUGCUAUGCUGUGUUCGUGAGAGGUCUAGGUCGUCGUCUCCCAGUCAACUUUGGGUUGCUGGACCGUUGUCUCCUUAUAAUGUAAUUAUUUAUUUUGUACAGAACUUCUAUUAUAUAGUAAAGAUGUGACAUUCGAU
rnacentral:lncRNA from 1 species